UGUAGGACUUGUUCCUGUGGGCUUCAGUGAUGGGAUAGUACACUUCACUCAGAGGCAUUUGCAUCUUUAAAUAAUUUCUUAAAAGCCUCUAAAGUGAUCAGUGCCUUGAUGCCAACUAAGGAAAUUUGUUUAGCAUUGAAUCUCUGAAGGCUCUAUGAAAGGAAUAGCAUGAUGUGCUGUUAGAAUCAGAUGUUACUGCUAAAAUUUACAUGUUGUGAUGUAAAUUGUGUAGAAAACCAUUAAAUCAUUCAAAAUAAUAAACUAUUUUUAUUAGAGAAUGUAUACUUUUAGAAAGCUGUCUCCUUAUUUAAAUAAAAUAGUGUUUGUCUGUAGUUCAGUGUUGGGGCAAUCUUGGGGGGGAUUCUUCUCUAAUCUUUCAGAAACUUUGUCUGCGAACACUCUUUAAUGGACCAGAUCAGGAUUUGAGCGGAAGAACGAAUGUAACUUUAAGGCAGGAAAGACAAAUUUUAUUCUUCAUAAAGUGAUGAGCAUAUAAUAAUUCCAGGCACAUGGCAAUAGAGGCCCUCUAAAUAAGGAAUAAAUAACCUCUUAGACAGGUGGGAGAUUAUGAUCAGAGUAAAAGGUAAUUACACAUUUUAUUUCCAGAAAGUCAGGGGUCUAUAAAUUGACAGUGAUUAGAGUAAUACUUUUUCACAUUUCCAAAGUUUGCAUGUUAACUUUAAAUGCUUACAAUCUUAGAGUGGUAGGCAAUGUUUUACACUAUUGACCUUAUAUAGGGAAGGGAGGGGGUGCCUGUGGGGUUUUAAAGAAUUUUCCUUUGCAGAGGCAUUUCAUCCUUCAUGAAGCCAUUCAGGAUUUUGAAUUGCAUAUGAGUGCUUGGCUCUUCCUUCUGUUCUAACUUCACAGAGAAUGCAGUUGUCUUGACUUCAGAUGCAACCUUAAAAUCAGUGACAAGAAACAUUCCAAACAAGCAACAGUCUUCAAGAAAUUAAACUGGAACACUCAGCAGACACACGUAUGCGAAGGGCCAGAGAAGCCAGACCCAAUGGUAUUCUUCAGACUAUAGAAGGAGCUUCCAGUUGAAUUCACCAGUGGACAAAAUGAGGAAAACAGAUUUUUCAGGUACCCCUCACUAAAGGCACCGAAGGCUUAAAGUAGGACAACCAUGGAGCCUUCCUGUGGCAGGAGAGACAACAAAGCGCUAUUAUCCUAAGACCCUUCACCCCUCACCUCGAUGCAGCCAGUAGCUUGGAUCCUUGUGGGCAUGAUCCAUAAUCGGUUUCAAGGUAAUAGCCUGCAGCUGGUGUUUUGAGAAGCCCUACUGCUGAAAACUUAACAAUUUUGUGUAAUAAAAAUGGAGAAGCUCUAAA
rnacentral:lncRNA from 1 species